rnacentral:rRNA from 1 species
UGGGGGAUAUUGCACAAUGGGCGAAAGCCUGAUGCAGCGACGCCGCGUGGGGGAUGAAGGCCUUCGGGUUGUAAACUUCUUUUGCUCUGAACAAGGCAUGCCUUUGGGGUGUGUUGAGUGUAGGGGUUGAUUAGCGCCGGCUAACUACGUGCCAGCAGCCGCGGUAAUACGUAGGGCGCGAGCGUGGUCCGGAAUUAUUGGGCGUAAAGGGUUUGUAGGUGGCUGGUUGCGUCUGUCGUGAAAGCUCAUGGCUUAACUGUGGGUUUGCGGUGGGUACGGGCUGGCUUGAGUGCAGUAGGGGAGGCUGGAAUUCCUGGUGUAGCGGUGGAAUGCGCAGAUAUCAGGAGGAAUACCGGUGGCGAAGGCGGGUCUCUGGGCUGUUACUGACGCUGAGGAGCGAAAGCGUGGGGAGCGAACAGG